CUCAAUGAAAUUUAAAUAGCCGCAAUAUAUCUGUGCUAAGGUAGCAUAAUAAUUUGUCUUUUAAUUAAAGACUAGAACAAAAGAUUUAACAUUUUUAUUUCUUUCUUAACAAUAUAAUAUUUAAAUUAUCUUAAAUAUAAAAAGAUAUUUUUUUUUAAAAAAGACGAUAAGACCCUAUUGAACUUAACUAAAGUUAAACUGGGGUAGUUAAUUAAAUAUAAUUUUAAUUGAAAUCAACAAAUACCUAAUACAAUUAAAUUAAUCAAGUUACCAUAGGGAUAACAGCGUAAUAAUUUUUUAUAGCUCUUAUUUAAAAAAUAAUUUACGACCUCGAUGUUGAAUUAAUAAUCUAUUAAAUGCAAUAAUUUAAUAAGAAAGUCUGUUCGACUU
rnacentral:rRNA from 1 species